UACAGAGGGUGCAAACGUUGUUCGGAAUUACUGGGCGUAAAGCGCGUGCGGGCGGCCUUGCAAGUCGGACGUGAAAUCCCACGGCUCAACCGUGGAAGUGCAUUCGAAACUGCGAGGCUGGAGUCCUGGAGAGGAAAGUGGAAUACUCGGUGUAGAGGUGAAAUUCGUAGAGAUCAGGAAGAACAUCGGUGGCGAAGGCGCUCUGCUGGACCAUAACUGACACUCAGGGACGAAAGCUAGGGGAGCGAAUGGG
rnacentral:rRNA from 1 species